GACGUAGGGCGCGAGCGUUGUCCGGAUUUAUUGGGCGUAAAGAGCUCGUAGGCGGCUUGUCGCGUCGUCCGUGAAAACCUGGCAGCUCAACUGCAGGCUUGCGGUCGAUACGGGCAGGCUAGAGUUCGGUAGGGGAGACUGGAAUUCCUGGUGUAGCGGUGAAAUGCGCAGAUAUCAGGAGGGAACACCGGUGGGCGAAGGCGGGG
rnacentral:rRNA from 1 species